GCCCAGAGCCUGAAUCAGCAUGUGUGUUAGUGGAAGCGUCUGGAAAGGCGCGCGAUACAGGGUGACAGCCCCGUACACAAAAGCGCAUGUGCUGUGAGCUCGAUGAGUAGGGCGGGACACGUGGUAUCCUGUCUGAAUAUGGGGGGACCAUCCUCCAAGGCUAAAUACUCCUGACUGACCGAUAGUGAACCAGUACCGUGAGGGAAAGGCGAAAAGAACCCCGGCGAGGGGAGUGAAAAAGAACCUGAAACCGUGUACGUACAAGCAGUGGGAGCACAGGUUUACCUGUGUGACUGCGUACCUUUUGUAUAAUGGGUCAGCGACUUAUAUUCUGUAGCAAGGUUAACCGUAUAGGGGAGCCGAAGGGAAACCGAGUCUUAACCGGGCGUUAAGUUGCAGGGUAUAGACCCGAAACCCGGUGAUCUAGCCAUGGGCAGGUUGAAGGUUGGGUAACACUAACUGGAGGACCGAACCGACUAAUGUUGAAAAAUUAGCGGAUGACCUGUGGCUGGGGGUGAAAGGCCAAUCAAACCGGGAGAUAGCUGGUUCUCCCCGAAAGCUAUUUAGGUAGCGCCUCGUGAAUUCAUCUCCGGGGGUAGAGCACUGUUUCGGCUAGGGGGCCAUCCCGGCUUACCAACCCGAUGCAAACUGCGAAUACCGGAGAAUGUUAUCACGGGAGACACACGGCGGGUGCUAACGUCCGUCGUGAAGAGGGAAACAACCCAGACCGCCAGCUAAGGUCCCAAAGUCAUGGUUAAGUGGGAAACGAUGUGGGAAGGCCCAGACAGCCAGGAUGUUGGCUUAGAAGCAGCCAUCAUUUAAAGAAAGCGUAAUAGCUCACUGGUCGAGUCGGCCUGCGCGGAAGAUGUAACGGGGCUAAACCAU
rnacentral:rRNA from 1 species